rnacentral:rRNA from 1 species
UUUUGCAGCCAUAUCACCCUGUAGCCCAAGACUGGUUGCCCACUGAAGCUAAGCAGGGCUGAGCCUGGUCAGUACCUGGAUGGGAGACCUCCUGGGAAAACUAGGUUGCUGCUGGAA